GGUGUGCGAUCUUCUCUUCUCCG
rnacentral:siRNA from 1 species